AUAGUAAUUUACCUAAAAGUUAUAAUGAAAAUUAUCAUUCAAAUUUCAGCCCGUCACUUACUGUGCAUUUUCUGACAAAUUGAACCAAUUUGCCAAUUUCAAAGUCUAAUUUAUCCAAUUUUUUUGUUUUAUGUUAAAUUGAACCUAAUUCCUAAUUUUUAUUUGAAAAUUGAUGAACAGAAUUGAAUACAUAUUACUGAAACUUGUUUUUCCCUUACGAAAUGCUUAUUAGAGGCUCAGCCACAUUCAUAGUAUCUUAGCUAUCAAAGCGUUUGAAAAGGACAUAACAGAAGAUGGAAAAGAAAUAAUCAUUGUUUAUUGAUUAAAUUUACGCAAAUUUGGGCCUAAUCAUUGUUUAUUGAUUAAAUU
rnacentral:misc_RNA from 1 species